GGGGACGUAGUUCAGCUCUGGUUAGAACGCCGGCCUGUCACGCCGGAGGUCGCGGGUUCGAGUCCCGUCGUCCCCGCCA
rnacentral:tRNA from 4 species